rnacentral:rRNA from 1 species
AACGAAUGCUGGCGGCAGGCUUAACACAUGCAAGUCGAACGCCCCGCAAGGGGAGUGGCAGACGGGUGAGUAACGCGUGGGAACGUGCCCUUCGCUUCGGAAUAGUCCCGGGAAACUAGGUUUAAUACCGGAUACGCCGUAUUGGGACAGAUUUAUCGAUGAAGGAUCGGCAAGCGUUAGAUUAGGUAGUUGGCGGUGGAAUGGACCACCAAGCCUACGAUCUAUAGCUGGUCUGAGAGGAUGAUCAGCCACACUGGGACUGAGACACGGCCCAGACGCCUACGGGAGGCAGCAGUGGGGAAUCUUGGACAAUGGGCGCAAGCCUGAUCCAGCCAUGCCGCGUGAGUGAAGAAGGCCUUAGGGUUGUAAAACUCUUUCGCCGGAGAAGAUAAUGACGGUAUCCGGAGAAGAAGCCCCGGCUAACUUCGUGCCAGCCGCCGCCGUAAAAC